rnacentral:lncRNA from 1 species
UUCCAUUCUUGAUCUGUUUUUUCGCUAUCUUAUUCGGUGGUACAAAACUAAAUACGACUCUUAUUCUUGCCCGAUGGAGGUAGCCACGCCCACUCUAAUUCCAUCCAAUGUAUACCACACUUUAAUAGAAGUUAAGCGCUUAAGCAGUUCCAGAAGCUGGAGAGAGGUGAAAGCUGGAAAGCCAAUAGCCAGAAUUCUGUUGGCAAUAGUGGAAUAGCCAGCUAAUACUGGUGCAAGCUCGAGUAUCGAGCAACACUACCUAGUAACCAUACCAUACCAUACAUCUACUAAACAGAGGAUGACAUAUCCAAUAAAGGAUUGGUAAUUCCUGACGGAAGAAGAAUCAGAGGAAUCGAAGCAAUCAUAAAAGCAGGAAAUUGCAAUGCCUUCUCCACCCCUUUUUGAUAAAACAAUUGUAUUUAGCGCGCCUCAAGCCUCCUUCCUCGGGGUAGGUCCCGCGUAUGACCCAACCCAUCUCCCCGAAGGCUGGCAGGUUCGGAAAUAGCUUGCGCAGAAGCGAGAACCCCAGGUCCAUAUCUACAAAAAAUAUGUAGUUUUUGUAAGCGAGCUGAGGAAUAAAAGUAAGAAAGUUGUUUUUACAAGGGAUAUUUGAGGUACCACAAGGCCUCUUUUCUUAAAGGAAUCCGCCUUCAAACGCGUUCCACAAAAAAAGAAGUAGGACCCUAUUGCAAGUUCCUUGCACUUUAACCGAGAAACAAAUCAUGUGUUUCUUGUCUAUUUCUUUUUAUCACAGGAGGGGAGGUGAAGGGGAAUUGAAAGAGGAAGAAAUUCAAUGAGUUCUCACCUUUCCUUACUUCUGGUGUUUCCUGGUAUGUCGUCCUACUCUUUUUUUCUCUCUCUUUUUCUCCUUUCAAUUGGCAUGAAUCUCAGCUCGUUUCAGCCGCCAUGGGAGGCUUGGCGAUGGGAGUUUCUUUCGUGGGGAAGAAGAUGGAAGU